rnacentral:rRNA from 1 species
UACGGAGGGUGCAAGCGUUAUCCGGAUUCACUGGGUUUAAAGGGUGCGUAGGUGGGCAAGUAAGUCAGUGGUGAAAUCUCCGGGCUUAGCCCGGAAACUGCCAUUGAUACUAUUUGUCUUGAAUACUGUGGAGGUCAGCGGAAUAUGUCAUGUAGCGGUGAAAUGCUUAGAUAUGACAUAGAACACCAAUUGCGAAGGCAGCUGGCUACACAAAUAUUGACACUGAGGCACGAAAGCGUGGGGAUCAAACAGG